UGCCCCCUGAUUAAUAAUUAAAGGGGUGCAGUAUUUUGACUGUACAAAGGUAGCAUAAUCAAUAGUCAUUUAAUUGAUGACUUGUAUGAAGGAUUGGAUGAAAUAUAAGCUGUUUCAUAUGUAAUUUAUAAAAUUUAAUUUUUUAGUUAAAAAGCUAAAAUAUUUUAAAAAGACGAGAAGACCCUAUAGAGUUUAAUUUUUUUUUUAUUUAAUUAUAUUUGUUAUAAAUAAAUUAAUUUUUAAAUAAUGAGAAAAUUUUAUUGGGGUGAUAGAAAAAUUAAAUAAACUUUUUUUCAAUAAAAACAUUAAUAAGUGAUUAUUUGAUCCAAUAUUUAUUGAUUAUAAGAAAAAAUUACCUUAGGGAUAACAGCGUAAUUUUUUUUUUUAGUUCAUAUAAAAAAAAGAGUUUGCGACCUCGAUGUUGGAUUAAGAUAAAAUUUAAAUGCAAAAGUUUAAAAUUUUGA
rnacentral:rRNA from 1 species